rnacentral:lncRNA from 1 species
GGUAAAUCUCCACUGUUAUGAAAAAUUAUAACAGUAUGGCUAAAAGAGGAUUUAAAAAUUAUUUUGGAGAAUAAGACUUCAUUUUUUGGAACUUGAAUAUACAAAUCUCAAGUUAUUUUCAACAGAAAUUAUUUUUGUUUUAGUGUCUGCCUCUCUGUUGAGGCUAUUAAUCUGCUAGAAGAAGAAAUUGAUCGAUGUUGCUAUACAAACAAUCUCAGUAUUAAGUUAAGAAGAUGUUUAGUAUCUACCACAAUUAUGACUAUUUGUCAAUCUUUAAUUUUUAACAUUGUUAACACCUUAUAUUCCCACCAUAUUAUAAGAAAAGCUAUCCCUAUUGAAAAGGAGAACGGAAACCUGUUGUGUUGCAAUAAAACCAAACAACGAUACCUUUUCAUAACGCUAGCUGUAAGAGGGACAUCCGUCUUCUGCACCACAUCAUCAAAAUCAGUUACUAGUUUAACAGGAACCCUCCCAAAAGGGCAGGCCUGGUUAGAUUUGUUUAGUGGUCUUAAUGGAUUGUGGAAGUUAACUAUAGCAUCAUGGUCUUGUGAUUUCUCUUCCCCAAGAAGAUGUUUAGCAACAGCAGAAGAAUUUUCAGUAGAAUCAUUCCUUUUUAUAUUUCUCUGAUUUCCAACUAUGCUCUGAAGUCCAGACUCCU